rnacentral:misc_RNA from 1 species
GUACUCUCACACUCUCUGAUCCUUUGGAUGUGGGGAGCGGUGGACUUGGGUGGUUGCUGCAUUCCUUGUGGCUCACCUCAAAAGUGUCAGUGCACCUCUUGGUUGGACAUAGUACGGCGUGAUAAGUAUCUUCGCCGGCACCUCUUAAAUGCGAGAGGGUGGCCAGCCAGGAGCUCUGUGCUUUCAAACCGUCUUCGGACAUUCUUUGACA